rnacentral:lncRNA from 1 species
UUUAGGGAACGGGGGAGUUGAAUCAAUUAAAGUUCCCUAUAUUAUAAAUGGCACGUAGAUUAUAGCCCUUGAUACAGGACUAAAUGUAUUAUAAAUGCAUGUCACAGUUGGGCAAGAAGUUAGGGAGCAAGAAGAAGAAGCCCCUACUGCCUACCAUAAAGUUUUGGAGGCGUAUCAGGGCUGUGUCAGAUUGACAGGUGAGUGGGAGUUUGUACUUUGCACCAUGAGCACAUUCCUUAUUCAUUUUCAUGAAUGUUGCCAAGUGUGACUUGAUUCCACUUGAGCAUAUUGAUUGAUAUUGUAGUAGAUUCCUCUAUAAUCUUGAUUCUCCAUGCUUGAUUAUUCUGUACAUGCAUUUGAGGGAACAUUGAGAGGAAUUACGAGGGGUUGAUGAGUAAUCAAAUUGAUUCCGAAUUGUGAAAUGAUUUCUUUUGUAAAUUGAUUUCAUUUCCUCUAUUUUAAAGACUUGUGAGUCGUAGCUUGAUUAUACUCUUUUAUGAGUAAUUAAAUUGAUUCCAAAUUGUGAAAUAACUUCUUUUGUAAAUUGAUUUCAUUUCCUCCAUUUCAAAGAUUUGUAGAGCCUUUUUAGUGGUAUAUUGAGUUGUAUUGCACUUCCUUGACCCUCACUCCUAACCCUGAUGUUAGUUUAUGAUUGGGUCAUGAUCGAGUGAGUGGUAAUCUUGAUCAUACUCCUUUUUAGUAGAGUAUUGGGAGGGUGCAUUAUG